GGAGAAGUGCCAGAGUGGUCGAUCGGGCCGCACUCGAAAUGCGGUGUACUCUCGCGGGUACCGGGGGUUCGAAUCCCUCCUUCUCCG
rnacentral:tRNA from 1 species